UCGACUUUGUUUUUUACUUCCCCUGUUGCCUGUAAUGCACAUCCCUGGAAGCAUAUGCUAUCAUUUUGUUAAUGAAAUUGUUGUUAUUUUGUUCAGUGAUAGCAAACAUGUUCCUGCACUUCUUCUUUAAUUCCAAUAUUUAACGGGAGGUGACCAAGCUCACAUUGCUUCAGAAAGGACUAUUCCUGGGUACGGUGGUGGCAUGAGUUCAGCUAAGGCAGCACUUGAGAGCGAUACCAGAGUAUGUUCUAUGUAGGUUCUUGCUUAUGAAGCAGGUC